GCCUGGGAGGGCUCAGUUGGUUGAGCAUCUGACUUCAGCUCAGGUCAUGAUCUCACCCUCUGUGAGUUCGAGCCCCACAUCAGGCU
rnacentral:tRNA from 1 species